AUCGAACGCUAGCGGGAUGCCUUACACAUGCAAGUCGAACGGAGUGGCGAACGGGUGAGUAAUGCAUCGGAACGUGCCCCGUAGCGGGGGAUAACUAUGUCAACGCGUAGCUAAUACCGCACACCAUUGGAGCUGUCGGUAUCGGAUUAGCCAGUUGGUGGGGUAACGGCUCACCACGGCGACGAUCCGUAGCUGGCUUGAGAGGACGACCAGCCACACUGGGACUGAGGCACGGCCCAGACUCCUACGGGAGGCAGCAGUGGGGAAUUUUGGGCAAUGGGGGAAACCCUGAUCCAGCCAUCCCGCGUGUGCGAUGGAGGCCUUCGGGUUGUAAAGCACUUUUGGCAGGGAGGCGGUACCUGCAGAAGAAGCACCGGCUAACUACGUGCCAGCAGCCGCGGUAAUUC
rnacentral:rRNA from 1 species